rnacentral:misc_RNA from 1 species
UCGUAACAAGGUUUCCGUAGGUGAACCUGCGGAAGGAUCAUUACCGAGUGAGGGCCCUCUGGGUCCAACCUCCCACCCGUGUCUAUCGUACCUUGUUGCUUCGGCGGGCCCGCCGUUUCGACGGCCGCCGGGGAGGCCUUGCGCCCCCGGGCCCGCGCCCGCCGAAGACCCCAACAUGAACGCUGUUCUGAAAGUAUGCAGUCUGAGUUGAUUAUCGUAAUCAGUUAAAACUUUCAACAACGGAUCUCUUGGUUCCGGCAUCGAUGAAGAACGCAGCGAAAUGCGAUAAGUAAUGUGAAUUGCAGAAUUCAGUGAAUCAUCGAGUCUUUGAACGCACAUUGCGCCCCCUGGUAUUCCGGGGGGCAUGCCUGUCCGAGCGUCAUUGCUGCCCUCAAGCACGGCUUGUGUGUUGGGCCCCCGUCCCCCUCUCCCGGGGGACGGGCCCGAAAGGCAGCGGCGGCACCGCGUCCGGUCCUCGAGCGUAUGGGGCUUUGUCACCUGCUCUGUAGGCCCGGCCGGCGCCAGCCGACACCCAACUUUAU